GUGUGUCCAGUGUGUGUGUCCAGUGUGUGUGUGUGUGUGUCAGGUUAUUAUUUCAGGGACACUGAGGAGUCAUCAUGAACCCUAAACCCUGGAUAGAGGGGCUCAGUGAAUGUGGAGGUGAAUGUGAUCAGGUGGGUCAGUGUUUCAGAGGAGGCUCUAUAGAAGGACAGCGUGCCGGCUGGCCAGUCCAGAUACACUCCUACUCUGUGGGAGCUGGA